rnacentral:misc_RNA from 1 species
CCCUUCUCGACCCUCAAAGAUGUGACCUUCGUAGUGCCUCUGAAGGUGCUGCGCGUGUUGCUUUCCUGCUCACCUUUUUUUUUCCGCUUUACAUAUGCGGGCGCGUGUGUGUGAACGCGGCGCUGCCCAUAGGCGCGGCAAACGACUCCAUGCAGACCAAUGGAAGCGCGUUCUCACCGGCAGAGGCGACAACUCUGCACCUCCCUCCCCCUGCCGCACAUUGUAAACAAAUACCAGCACAUAUCCGCCUACCCUGGGGUCCACAGGCUUACGCAGAAGAUGCGCACUUCUUGGCCUCAGCUGUGCUUUCCACGUCCAGCAUGGGGGUAAGCAUUUGGCUGCUGCUGCUGUGGAGAAGCACCGUUUCCUAUCCUCCGUGUUUCUUCAUUUUGAGCUGCAGCUCUCUCUAGUAAAGGACAACGCCAUUUGGGUGGUUGUCGUGCGCGCUUCAGCAGGGCUGCUUCACGGAUGCUGUUGAUGGUCCGUGCUUGCUAGUGGGGCAUCGCGUGACGUUACGGGGUCAGGGGCCUUAUUGGUACGUGCGACGGCUCCAUGACCCGCGCCGCCCAUCUGCAGUAUACCGUUAGAAGCCACUGCAGGCCAUUGCAAAAGUGUCUGCUAGCCCGUGCUUCUGCGUGCUUGUUUUGAGCUAGCGGCGCUGAAUCCGGAUGGGGCGAUGGUGGGCCCAUUCACUUGUAGAGUUCCCUAAGGAGACGCCGUCUCGCGCGGUGCAGUGCUUGCUGUGCGUCGCAGCGUUCGUGGGCCUUGUCGUGGUUGUGGUGCUGAAAUGGACCGCUCGCGCAUGCAGGUGAGCGCUUUCUCCUGUGCGCAGUGCGUGCAGCAAAGUCUGGAGAGCUGUGGCCACUCGUGCCAUCCGAAUGGCAUCGCCGCUUGUAGUGCCUUACAAGAGAUCAGCGCACGCGAGCGCGAUAAGCGUAGCACCGACUCUGUGCCAGCGUGCGCUCAAAGGAUUCUUUCUGUUCGUGUGUGUAGAUGUUGGCAGUGUGACUGCUCCCGACUGAACACUUCCCCUCCCCCCACCCAACGCGUGUCCCUUCUGGGCCACACAACAGGAGCCAAGCACCACUCCACCCCUCUGGCCGGCCCCACAGGCCCCCACCUCGCGUGGUGCAAGGCAGCCGUAGACACACGCGCUGCAGCAAUGCGCCGACUCAGUCAUCGGAGCACCGCCUCGGCCUCAAGCUCUACCGACCCCCCGUGCUGCAGGUCGCCUCACAGCCGCUCCUACUGUGCCAGUCGUUACUUGGCGAGUCUCUCUCCGGGUGGCUCAGGCCCCCCACCCACCACCACCACCAGUCGGCAGUGCGAGGGUCGGGGUGGAGUAUGCUCGAGUCACGCUGGCACUCCGCCCAUCAUAUGGAUUGGCGCAGGCGUGCUCACCGUCGCAGGUCGCUUCGGCGCAACGCCAUCCAGGCCUGGUCCCCCGACAUCAGUAGCGACGAAUCGCUCUGACCUCCCCACGUCGUGGGUUCUGGACCCUGCCACCACCAGAGGUGGCCCCGCAUUAGCAGGCGCAGGGGGGGGUGAGGGGCUGCUUGGCUUCCCUAAGCACACAGAGAGUGGGGGAGGGGUGCUGAGUCUUGUGACACCACCACACACUGAGAGGUGUGCCUCCCCCUCCCCUGUCAUCAUCAUCAGGGGCGAGGAGGGGCGGCCAAAAGAAAAACGACUCGGCACAUCGCAAUAAGGACGGUGAGUGUACUGGCAUCCCUUCUCGCGCCUGUUUGCGGCUCGCGCUCAUACCGGCCUCUACGUGUCUCUGUGUUUCCGUACUUGGCCAUCGCAUGGCAGUGGCUUGCACAACAAACAGGGACACCGACAUACAGGGACGCGUGCACACACUUGGCUACAUGUAUCGGAGGGACGUGUCAUCGGUGCAGCUAUUCGCUGCCAUAUUCGCAUAUGCCAAAG